rnacentral:rRNA from 1 species
AGCGAACGCUGGCGGCGUGCUUAACACAUGCAAGUCGAGCGGAGGUGUUUCAAGGGUAACCUUGAGAUACACUUAGCGGCGGACGGGUGAGUAAUACGUGGAUAACUUACCUCUAGGCCUGGGAUAACCCCGGGAAACUGGGGCUAAUACCUGAUAAGACCACAUUGUCUACGGACAAAGGGGUAAAAGGUGGCUGUGCAAACAGCUAUCGCCAAAAGAUAGGUUCACGUCCCAUCAGGCAGUUGGUGAGGUAAUGGCUCACCAAACCAAAGACGGUAGCCGGCCUUGGCCGGGUGAACGGCCACACGGGGACUGAGACACGGCCCGAC